UGCUUUUGUUUCUUAUCCAGAGAAACUGUGAUAAGAUCUAUGAUACAACGAAGUUUGAUGGAUGCAUUCACAUACUCGUUAUUUCUGCAUUACCCUAUACAUCGAUGGGGGUUGAAUGCAAAUGAGUUUCUAUCAAAGAAGAGAAAGUUGAUCUGUCGGCUCUACCAGGUUUUGUCUUACUUACAUCCGUCACUCUAAAGAAGAUGGAUAAAGGUGAAGUUUUGAUGAGUAAUACGGUAUCUGCGGGUGCAAAUGAGUGUUUGAGGCUUAAGAUAUCUCUUAGGUAUAGAUCAUGAGUACACUACAGUAAAUUAGGUGAUAGCUCGGAUGAGGAAUCUACAGAUCGACAACCUCAUCAGCAUCUUCCUCCGAGGCCGUGCCUUCCUAAAGGUGUUGUUCGUGGGUGUUUUAAGUGUACUAAUUGCGAAAAGGUCACGACAAAGUGGCGUCCAGAAGCUGCACAAAGGUUUGCACCCAUAGGUCAUGGAAACGUCCAUAUGGUGUUGGUAUGCUUGUUAUAGGGUUGGAUGAAUCAGGAGCACACCUCUACUACAAUUUCCCAAGUGGGAACUACUUCGAAUACCAGGCCUUUGCUAUUGGGGCUCGCUCACAAUCUGCUAAAACUUGUUUGGAACGUAAAUUUGAAUCCUUCGCCAACUCUACCUGUGAUGAUCUGAUCAAAGAUGCACUCUUUGUAAUCAAAGA